UAGAAAGUGGGUGUGGGGUGGUGGGUGUUAGCUGGCAGGGCCCGUGGACCAGUCUAUCUUUAUGUCUCAGUAGUCCGGUCAAGUCCCACAAGCCUCCAGAGCUCUGACCUUCUCAGGGAAUGGAACCAGUAGACUCGGUUAGCUAAAAGUCCUGUUUUGUUCAAACUGUAACCAUCUGAAACAACUCUAAGACUCGAUGGCUCUCUGAGAAGAUACCCUAUAUUAAGAAGGGCUUGGGAGUGAGACUCCCAUUAAACUAAGCAACCCCAGAUUGCUACAGAAGAGAGCUUUGAGCUUCCAGAAAGAAUUCACCUACGACGAAAAAGACGACCCAGCUAAAAGCAAAGAUAUAGAUGUUAGUCUCUUGGCCAAUCUCCCAAAGGUGAGUAAGGGUUUUCUUUUGCUUUAUUUUCUGCCUGCUUGCAAAUUGGUCCUCACCAUGUCAACCUUUUCAGGGAUUUUGAAAGUCACUGUUGUGCAACAGC
rnacentral:lncRNA from 1 species